AUUUAUAUAGUUUAAAUAUAAAACCCCUUAUUUUCAUUAAGGAAAUAAGAGAAUUAUCUUUAUAAAUA
rnacentral:tRNA from 1 species